CCAAAGGCUCUUUUAAGAGCCACCCACUUUUUCAAGAAAAGGGCUU
rfam:Manacus vitellinus contig46824, whole genome shotgun sequence.